rnacentral:rRNA from 1 species
AGCUCCAAUAGCGUAUAUUAAAGUUGUUGUGGUUAAAAAGCUCGUAGUUGGAUCUCAACAGACUUGGAUCGGUUUACUUUGUGUAAUACUGAUCCAAAGCUGUGCUUUUGUCAGAGGUUUAGCGGUGCUCUUAACCGAGUGUCGCUGAGUGCUGACAGGUUUACUUUGAAAAAAUUAGAGUGCUCAAAGCAGGCUUUUACGCCUGAAUAUUCGUGCAUGGAAUAAUAGAAUAGGAAGUCGUUUCUAUUUUGUUGGUGUUCGGGAAUCGACUUAAUGAUUAAUAGGGACAGUCGGGGGCAUUUGUAUUCAAACGACAGAGGUGAAAUCCUUGGACCGUUUGAAGACAAACUACUGCGAAAGCAUUUGCCAAGAAUGUUU